rnacentral:rRNA from 1 species
GACGAACGCUGGCGGCGUGCCUAACACAUGCAAGUCGAGCGGAGUUAAUUGAAAGCUUGCUUUUGAUUAACUUAGCGGCGGACGGGUGAGUAACGCGUGGGCAACCUGCCUGUUACAGGGGGAUAACACAGGGAAACUUGUGCUAAUACCGCAUAACACAACGAGAAAGCAUUUUCUUGUUGUCAAAGGAGCAAUCCGGUAAUAGAUGGGCCCGCGUCCAAUUAGCUAGUUGGUGAUGUAACGGACCACCAAGGCGACGAUUGGUAGCCGAACUGAGAGGUUGACCGGCCACAUUGGGACUGAGACACGGCCCAGACUCCUACGGGAGGCAGCAGUGGGGAAUAUUGCGCAAUGGGGGGAACCCUGACGCAGCGACGCCGCGUGAAGGAAGAAGGUCUUCGGAUUGUAAACUUCUUUAAGUCGGGACGGAAGGAAGUAGACGGUACCCGAGAAAAAGCCAACGGCUAACGUACGUAGCCAGCCAGCCGCGGUAACUCGAAUACUCGUA